rnacentral:misc_RNA from 1 species
AACGAGGCCGACCUGCGGCUGAGUUACCUGCGGAAGGAUCAUUACAAGUGACCCCGGUCUAACCACCGGGAUGUUCAUAACCCUUUGUUGUCCGACUCUGUUGCCUCCGGGGCGACCCUGCCUUCGGGCGGGGGCUCCGGGUGGACACUUCAAACUCUUGCGUAACUUUGCAGUCUGAGUAAACUUAAUUAAUAAAUUAAAACUUUUAGCAAUGGAUCU